AUUGAACGCUGGCGGCAUGCCUUACACAUGCAAGUCGAACGGUAACAGGUCUUCGGAUGCUGACGAGUGGCGAACGGGUGAGUAAUACAUCGGAACGUGCCUAGUAGUGGGGGAUAACUACUCGAAAGAAUGGCUAAUACCGCAUGAGAUCUACGGAUGAAAGCAGGGGAUCGCAAGACCUUGUGCUACUAGAGCGGCCGAUGGCAGAUUAGGGAGUUGGUGGGAUAAAAGCUUACCAAGCCGACGAUCUGUAGCUGGUCUGAGAGGACGAUCAGCCACACUGGGGCUGAGACACGGCCCAGACUCCUACGGGAGGCAGCAGUGGGGAAUUUUGGACAAUGGGCGCAAGCCUGAUCCAGCAAUGCCGCGUGCAGGAUGAAGGCCUUCGGGUUGUAAACUGCUUUUGUACGGAACGAAAAGCCCUGGGUUAAUACCCUGGGGUCAUGACGGUACCGUAAAAAUAAGCACCGGCUAACUACGUGCCAGCCGCCGCGGUAA
rnacentral:rRNA from 1 species